rnacentral:rRNA from 1 species
GACGAACGCUGGCGGCGUGCCUAAUACAUGCAAGUUGAGCGCUGAAGGUUGGUACUUGUACCAACUGGAUGAGCAGCGAACGGGUGAGUAACGCGUGGGGAAUCUGCCUUUGAGCGGGGGACAACAUUUGGAAACGAAUGCUAAUACCGCAUAAAAACUUUAAACACAAGUUUUAAGUUUGAAAGAUGCAAUUGCAUCACUCAAAGAUGAUCCCGCGUUGUAUUAGCUAGUUGGUGAGGUAAAGGCUCACCAAGGCGAUGAUACAUAGCCGACCUGAGAGGGUGAUCGGCCACAUUGGGACUGAGACACGGCCCAAACUCCUACGGGAGGCAGCAGUAGGGAAUCUUCGGCAAUGGACGAAAGUCUGACCGAGCAACGCCGCG